UCCAGGCAGGCGUUUGACCAGGCAGAGGGUUAGGGAGCAAAGCAGGUGGAAAAGUAGCGGUUCUUGCACGGGAUGUACUGGUAGCUAGCUCUGGAUGGCAGUAGCAGCCUGGUCUCUCAGCGGUGCCUGGGAAGCUGCAAAUUCAGCAAAGUGCAUCGAAACCUCGGGACUGGUCCUCGCGCUGCAGUGGGCCCACGUACACCAGGGGCUUCCAAUUCUGUCACUGGAGAAAAUGUGUCGCUAGUGUAUGCAGAUUGCAGUGUACGGAUACUGCUGGUAUUGCCUGGUACUCACUGUGGGUCUGGGUGAAUCACAGAGAUGCUCCGUUCAGCAAGUUCCCAACUGCUUACAUGCAGAUUUUUAACUUCUGCUUGGAAACCAGACUGGACACUGCCAUGUGAAAUAGGCAAAGAGCCUCGCACGGGUCUUCUACUAACACUGAAAAUGGAACUUGAUAGCUGCAAGGGAACCAGAACCAGCCCAAACACUGUUUCUACUUUGCUUUUGAAUAGGUUUGUUUCAGCAAGAAGCUGUUUCUGUGACAGUGCAGAGUAUGGCCUGGAUAACAGGAGGGAAGAAACCUUGAACCACUGAAUGUGUGAAAAAUUAGGCAACAACAAGCAACCACCACCACCAGCAAACAGAAAAUGAGAGGAGGGAGUGUUUUAAGCCGUAAAUCUGCUGAGAGAAGAGUCAUCUUUUCCUGUGUCCAUGAACAACGUAACCCUGUGAAAUGUCUGCACCUUUUUAGUGCUCCAGUAAUACAGGCCAUAGCCGUAAUGGGCUUGGGAUUCAUUGGUGAAACCGUGAUGCCAUUGGAGUUAACAAGUGCUGUUAGCCCUCAUUACAGGCUGUACCUA